CCUACGGGUGGCAGCAGUGAGGAAUAUUGGUCAAUGGGCGCGAGCCUGAACCAGCCAAGUAGCGUGAAGGAUGAAUGCCCUACGGGUUGUAAACUUCUUUUAUAAAGGAAUAAAGUGAGGCACGUGUGCCCUUUUUUAUGUACUUUAUGAUUAAGGAUCGGCUAACUCCGUGCCAGCAGCCGCGGUAAUACGGAGGAUCCGAGCGUUAUCCGGAUUUAUUGGGUUUAAAGGGAGCGUAGAUGGGGUGUUAAGUCAGUUGUGAAAGUUUGCGGAUCAACCGUAAAAUUGCAAUUGAUACUGAAAGUCUAGAGUACAGUUGAGGUAGGCGGAAUGCGUGGUGUAGCGGUGAAAUGCUUAGAUAUCACGAAGAACUCCGAUUGCGAAGGCAGCUUACUAAACUGCCACUGACAUUGAUGCUCGAAAGUGUGGGUAUCAAACAGGAUUAGAUACCCUUGUAGUC
rnacentral:rRNA from 1 species